CAUAGAUAUAGGAGAUCUAGAUUGCUAACGCAUACCUAGCGCAGGCGGGGCCUACAUGAUAAAUCCAAGAUGGCGGUACAAGAGGGCAAAAAGACCAUAGAUUCUAUUACGAAAAUCAAGAUUUUUGCAUUUUUUGCCGUCGCAUUGUUUUGAAACUUAUUCGGUCAAAUUUUAUGGUAAAGAGAAACUUACCGCGAAGAUUUUGAGCAUAUAUAUGAUUGAAUUGGAUGAAAACUCGCAAAAUUAUCCAGCGAUAAAAGUUCAUAUAUAGUACUGAUAUAGUACUAUAUAUGUAACUUGUACAGUUUUGCUUUAAUUUUUGCUCACU